rnacentral:lncRNA from 1 species
GGUGUGAGCCACCGUGCCCGGCCUAUGCACUCUUAAAUACAGUUUUUAAAUGUGUGUGUGCAUCCAUGUCUUAGAAUUCAUAGUGUAUAUCAAGAGGAAAAUGGAUUAAUUUCUCAAAAAAGUAAAAUUUCAUAAAUAUGUCUACUGUGCAAAUUAGCAGCAUAUUCCUUAGUGUCUUCCCUAAGUUUCCUCACUGAGUUUCUGUGUCAUAUUGCUUCUCCUCCUGGUGUACUCUUUUCCCACUCCUUUGCCCCAACCACAUACACACUAGGUUUUAGAGCAGCAGCUUCUAGCCCAUUUUCACAGUCUCUGGUCCUGGCAGAACACCUGUUGAAUCUUUGGUCUUUAUAUCACAACCUUUCGUUCAUUCAUCUAAUCCAAAGAAUAUUUUAUAUGCCAGACAUUUUGCUAGAUAGCGAAGAUGUGUCAUAAAUAAAAGAGAAGAGCCCUGUUCAACCUCUCCACCCAAUUGUGGGAGAAAUUGACAUUAAAUAAAUAAUAGCUGAUUAUUUUGUUAAAAUUAUAAUAGUGUUACAUAGGAGAAGUCACUGUGUCUCAGGAGUGUAGAACGGGGAAACUAAUUAGUCAGUGAUUGUGUGAGAGGAGUGUUAGGGAAGACCCCUCAGAGGAAAUGAUAUUUUCUUAGACUUUAAAAGAGGAUGAAGAGUUGUCUAGUUGAAGAUAAAGUGGGGUGAUGCCUAAUAUAUUGCUCAAUAAAUAUUUUUUUAAUGGAUUUGUAAACAAAACUUCCAGAAAGAAUUAUGGGUAUUGAUUAUAUGCUAAUCAUAGUAGUCAGCAUGUAUAAGAAGGUAAAAACUACAUAUAUUUUAGGACCAGGCAGCUCUUAUUCAUUCUGGCAGUGACAUGGAAGUGAGAAAGGCCAGCUGACCUAAAGAGAUCAAACUUUUGACCUUGCCCUCUUUAAUCCAGGACCCUAAACCACUGUGGUAACUAGACAAUUGUGAUAUAUGAAUACUUUGAAAACCUUAAAAAUGAAGAACAUUGAGUCUUUCAUGAAAAUACUCCUGAUCACAGUGUUUGCAUUACAAACUGAAAUCCAGUGGAAUAAACCCUGGUGGGCCUAUGUGGUAAAACUAUCAUAUUUUUCCUAAUGACUGUGCAAACUCAUUAUAAAAUCAUAAUUUUGAGGUUUCAUACCCAUCAUGAGUCAAGAUAGGUUAGUUUUGGCAAAAUACAUCUUCUUGGCUUUAGAGACUGUGAUCCAUCUUUGUGGCAUCAAAGAAGGGCAGCAUAAGUGUUGACUGGAAUCCCAAACUUUUCACCUCCCUUUGAUGCCAAGCCAAGCCUAAGCUUUCAUCAAAAGUACAUAAAUUCUUUUAUAUGGUGUAAUUAGGAGUUUGUAGCAUAAUUUGCAACAGAGGUUGCUUUACUUGCAUGCUUUUUCCCUUCCUGGAUCUUUUUCCCUGACCUGAGAGAAUGAAAAUAAAUCUCACAUCAUCUUCACCAAUUUUCUCUUCAUCCCACCUGGAUGUGCUUCCUCUUAGGUUACCAACUGCCCAACAGAUACGUCAACUGCAAGAUGUUCUAUCAAGCAAUUCACUACUUCCUCCCUUCUCAAUCUUCAGGCUCUGCAUAUGGAAAUGAACAUUUCAUUAUGACCCUAUGACCUACAAAGCUCCCUCUCUGUCACUCCUUAUCAUCUUUCCUAGGGAGGCAAUCAAAAUGAAAUGAUUUUAAGAUUCUAGCACUCCCAACUCUAAGGUAAAUAGCAUCUGACAUCUUCAUUAAGUCCAUAUUCAGUUUUUAGGUCUUCUGGUUGAAAGAAGAAUAAUCUAGAAGGACAAUUAAUAUUUAAAAAAGUCUUUCCCCUAUAACUUAAUAUUGUAGGUGGUAGUACUUUUUAGGACAGCACAGACUUGGUUUGGAAAUCUCAAAAUAACAAAAGGUGGUUUAAUUUUCUUACCCCUAUGUCAAGUUUUACCUGUUUUUUGUUUGUUUGUUUUAAUUCUCUAAGUGGGGAUAGAACAUUUUGUGGUAUGAAAAACUAUGAAAGAUCUUACCUCUGAAAAAAACUCCAUUUGAAUGAACCCUAAUUUAAUGGACAGGUGAAAGGUCAGCAACCUAGAAAAUUGGAGUGUAGUCACAGAAUUUACAACACCUUCUAACAUUUCUGGGCCUAAAUUUCACGUGUAUCUAAAGUAGAAAGAAUGGUCCCCAGCCCUUUCCAGAGUUUUAAUGAAAGAGUCUAUUGCUUUAAAUUAAAGACACAUCUGCUAGGUUCCUUUAACAGCAUCAGAGUUGAUGUUCAAACAUAUUAUUUCAAAAUUAUUUUGCGAAAUGUUGAGGUUAUCUGUCUUUAAAGUGCUGUUGCAAAAGUAUAUUGUUGAAUUUGUAACUCACAGCUAGAAAGCGAUAUAAAUCUUACAAGUUGCACUGAGAUCUUUCUAGAUGAAAAUGAUGCAGCAAUCAUGAACUCCUGUGUUAUCUGUCACUAUCUCAUAAGUCACAUGAUUUGAAGAGAAGAUCAUUCGGAGCAGUGGAAAAAUGAAAUCAAACAUAGCUGCUACCUCAGAUUGAAGAGAUGUCCUCUCCGAUUCUUUAAAGUAUUUCCUAUUCUCCUACCCACCUCCUCUGUUGUUUGCAAGACUCAAAAAGAUAAAUUUAUAGUGAAAUAAGAAUCCUCCAACUUACAUAUUAGAGCUUCUGCAAUUAAAGAAAAACAGAAAUCAGGCUGGGCGCAGUGGCUCACGCCUGUAAUCCCAGCACUCUGGGAGGCCAAGGUGGGUGGAUCACCUGAGGUCAGGAGCUUGAGACCAGCCUGGCCAACAUGGCAAAACCCCAUCUUUACUAAAAAUACAAAAAUCAGCUGGGUGUGGUGGUGGGUGGCUGUAAUCCCAGCUAUUCAGGAGGCUGAGUCAGGAGAAUCCCUUGAACCCAGGAGGCAGAUGUUGCAGUGAGCCGAGAUGGCACCACUGCACUCCAGCCUGAGUGACAGAGUGAUACUCUGUCUCAAAAAGAAAAAAAGAAAAAGAGAAAUCUAUGGGUGAAGACAAAUGGAAUGGCAAUACCUUGGAGUAGCAUUUACUAAUUCAAGCCAUAUAAACCAUACUAAGGUUGUCAGCCCAGAGGGGAGUCCAUCUGCUAUGUAGAUGAGAGAAUGCGACCAGGAAAGUCAGGACACAAAGCCAUGAUUCUUUCAACUUUUUGGCACUUUAAUAAGUGAAUUGCAUGUCCUGUCUUCUCCAUGAACUCAGCAAAGCUACAACUAAGCUCCUCAUCUUGAGAGUUCACCAUGUGCCCACUUUGACCUAUGGAUGGGCCCCUUGGCACUCUACCUUUUCAGUGUCCUCAACUGCACAAACUUCCUGGGCUGCACUGACUGCUGUACCCAGGCAAUUUUUUGGGAGCUCCAAUGUCUUGUCUAGCACAUGACAUGAGGCUGUAGCAUGUUCUUUCAAGUAUUAGUGCUAAAGAGGUCCCAUUCUACUUUCUCUGACUGAUCAGGUCACUGUUUUCAGCUACCUGGCCCUUCUAAGUCAGGGUCACUAGAGUAUUGGGAGGUUUGUAACUUCUUCAUUGGUGUCUUGUGUUUUCCUGUCUUUGAACUUGAGGAAAGCUGGCCCUGGAUGUUCACAACAUCAACCAAGCAAUGAAAACCACAGCACCCUACAGGAAAUUCUGCAUUUCUCUCAAAACAUGCAAAACACAAAAUUGGGUGGAACCACAGAAGGUUAUGGAUAACUCACUACAGUUUGGACUUUCAAAGGCCCUGGGAAAACUAUCCUACUUUUGUGAGAUACUAUUGUUCUACCUGUAAUGCAAGUGAACAGAUCUUAAUAAGGACAAAUAACAAUUUUUUAAAUGUUUACCAUAUUUUCUCAUUUGUUCCUUUCAUCAAGCAUCCAACCUGCCAGACCCUGCACUUGAUGGAUCAGCUGGCACCACCCAAAUCAAUAAACCGGCUCAUCUGAUCUUGUGGCACCCACCCAAGAACUGACUCAGCACAAGGAGACAGCUUCGACUCCCUGUGAUUUCAUCCCUGUCAACCAGCACUCCUGGCUCACUGGCUUCCCCCCACCCAACCAAGUUAUCCUUAAAAACUCUGCUCCCUGAAUGCUCAGGGAGUUUGAUUUGAAUAAUAAUAAAACUCCAGUCUCCUGCACAGCCGGCUCUAUAAAUUACUCUUUCUCUAUUGCAAUUCCCCUGUCUUGAUGAAUCGGCUCUGUCUAGGCACCGGGCAAGGUGAACCCCUUGGGUGGUUACACUAGCAUUGGUUUUUGUUUGCCACUGCAGCAUUAAUUAUGUGUUUUUUAUGGCAAUAGAAAUUUUUUUUUACUGCCUUUCCUCAAUGUUACAUGAAGACAUAUUUCACAAGUAGGCCAAGUACAAAGUAGGAAUAGAAGCUAGAAUGGAAUCAUAGACCAGAUUCUUACAUAGAUCACAUCAGCCAGGCUGAGGCUCCAUCUGUGUGCAUGGCACGGCACAGCUGCGUUGGUUGCUUAUAGCUAGCAUCUGUUCUGAUUGGUUGGUGCCUGUGGCUUUUCAGUUGCUCAGAGUUUUGAAUACCAACCCUGGGUACACAGUUAUCUCUGAAAGCUAAAAUGGUGAAAUAUAACACAUAAUGAAUGCAAUGAGCCAGCUCUAGACACAACCAAGAGAAUUCCCGUAACUGGGAACCUGAGAAAGUAUAAAAGCACUUAAUUGAAGGUGUAAAUGAGAGAAAGCAGGUUUGAAAUGCAACCAAAACAAAGCCCACACAUAGACAACUGUAUUUAUAAGUUGUUUCUAAAUGGGAAUGGAACGGUGUUUUUCCGGGAAUCUAGGGAACAGUCUCUCUACGGCGACUUUUCUCAUGUGAGAAAACAGACAUUUAGCAGAAAACCAGAAAAUGUUCAUUGGCUUCGGUGAACUUUUAUUCCAAGUUUCAAUGAGGGACCCUGUGCAGAGGCUUGGGACACGGAGACCUCCCUCUGCUGCCUUUAAGGAAGGUCAUUAAAAAAAAAAAAAUUCCGUUUUUUUUUUUUUUUUAAAGACGGAGUCUCGUUCUGUCGCCAGGCUGGAGUGCAGUGGCCUGAUCUCGGCUCACUGCAACCUACGCCUCCCAGGUUCAAGAGACUCUCCUGCCCCAGCCUCCUGAGUACCUGGGACCACAGGCGCCCGCCACCACGCACAGCUAAUUUUUGUAUUUUUAGUAGAGAUGGGGUUUGAGCAUGCUGGCCAGGAUGGCCCCGAUCUCUUGACCUCGUGAUCCGCCCGCCCCAGCCUCCCAAAGUGCUGGGAUUAUAGGCGUGAGCCACCGCCCUUCUAACUUUUCUAUUGUACCACACUGAUGGCAAGGAAGGGCGGUAGGAAAGCCUGCCAAGGAAAGGGAGGACCGGCCUGCAUAUUCUUAAGCGCUGUGGGACACUGUUCUGUAGACGUUGCCCAUCCCAUUGCUCUCUCAGGGAGGGAUGAGCCACGGCCAGGAGCAGCUCCUGGUCAUCUACUGUACCACGUGUGCAGAGGGAAGACACACUCCCAGAGAAGAAAAUGCUGGGAAAAAGAGACCACAGCCUUUGUAUGGUGGCUCAAUGUAAGUACUUCUUGACAUGUCCAGUUGUACAGCUCCUCUUUGGGGUUGGAGCGCUUUGCUUUCCAGGGUGUAGAUUGGGGUCUGGGGAAGUGGUGAAGUGGAGUGAAACUGGAGGCCUGGAGCUCCCCCUAGAGGCCAAAUGUAUUUUACCCUGACUCAAGAAAACCUGGAGCUGGAAGCUUGGCUCAUCAAACCUAAAGUAAGAGUAAGAAUCAGCAGUAUUGUCGGCACUACCCCGGGAAGGGAGAGAUACUAAACCUAGUGAACAGUGCAGGUCCGGAAUCCUUUAUGUGAAGUUCUAAAACUCAAAAAACUUUGAAAAUGGAAACUCUUUUGAGACCUAUUUGGCAACAACGUUUACCUGCAAUAUGAGGACAUAGUCUUUAUUAUCUUAAUGUGAGUAUUUUUAUCUUUUAUGACAGAUAUAUUAAUUAAUGUGUUUAAUCAUGAGAGGCUGCCCAUAUUCCUAGUAGGAACGUUAAAAGGUAGAGUACCCACUAGGGGUGUUUUAAUGUACAGUAUAUGAACUGUUUACUUCUCUCAAAUCUUAAAAAUUCAGAAAUCUGAACUACAUCUGGCCCCAAUCAGCCAAAGGACUAUAGGCCUGGGUAUUAUAAUGCUCACUACUGUGUGGGCCUCAAUCACAGCUCAACCUGUGCCAUGUGACUUUCAACAAGUGACUCACUGGCUAGAAGGCUCAGCUUCUUCUUUAGUAAGAUGGAAAUAUCACUAGUUUAGAUAUUAAAUGAGUUUAUGCACCGUGUUCAGCCCAGGACCUGGCAAAUAGUAAACAUCUAAGAGUGUUAGUGAUUAUUAUCAUACUUUGUUAUUAUUACUUGAUCUGAGAGAGUGCAUACCUCACUUUACUCUGAUUCACAGUCACCAAAGAGUCAUUUGACUACCAGCCACCAGGCCCACUAUUACCAGGAAGGUGGAAUCUUGAAAGACGAACAUGAGCUUUUGGGCCACUGAUGAUCCAUUAUAAAUCAAUAAUUUGAUAUUCUAGAUCCUAUCUCAAUCUCUUGAAUAUCUAGAAAAAUCAAAUCAAACAAAAAUCAGAGAUACUCUUGGUUCUGAGACACACCUAUACACCUAAAACCUUACUGGUUGCAAGCAGGCUUAAGUUACAGACAGCCAGACAGCCAAGAGCAUUUUGAAGGUGGGAAAACUAAGGCAAAGAAAUAGAAUGAUUUUUUUUGACAUGAGCACAAUAAUUGUAUGUGGGUCUUGGCUAAUGGUUUGUGAUUAGUUUACAAUGAUCCAAGAAUCUAGAAUAAGAUUUUCUUUUCUUUUCUUGUCUUGUCUUGUCUUUUCUUGACAUGCAGCCUCACUCUGUUCCCCAGGCUGGAAUGCAUUGGCACUAUCUCGGCUCACUGCAACCUCUGCCUCUUGGGUUCAAGUGAUGCUCCUGCUUCAGCAUCCCUGAGUAGCUGGGACUACAGGCAUGUGCCACCACUCCCAGCUAAAUUUUGUAUUUUUAGUAGAGACAGGGUUUUGCCGUGUUGGCCAGGCUGGUCUCAAACUCCUGACCUCAGGUGAUCUGCCUGCCUUGGCCUCCCAGAGUGCUGGGAUUACAGGUGUGAGCCACUGCACUUGGCCUAGAAUAAAAUUUUCUAAAAUGUUGUACAUAAAAUACUAGUGCUGCAAGAGGUUCUUUGAAUAAAAAAUUUCCCCAAAUUAUUUAAAAAUGAAACCCUUCUUUCAGGGAAUAUUUAUUAACACCCACAGAAUUUGGGUUAGAUAGAGUGUACCUGGGGAAAUACUGUUUUAGAGAGUAUCAACUUCUGUAUAUAAUUCAGGUAGAUAAUUCUUGGCUAUUGGGUAAUUUCAAG